rnacentral:lncRNA from 1 species
GUGAUUUGAAUAUGCUUGGCCCACAGAGUGGCACUAUGUUGCCUUGUUGGUGUAGGUGUUGGAGGAAGUCUGUCACUGUAGGAUUGGGCCUUGAGACCCUCCUCCGAGCUUCUGAUGGAUGAAGAUGUAGAACUCUCAGCUCCUCCAAUUCCAUACCUGCCUGGAUCCUGCCAUGCUUCCUUUUAUGAUGAUAAUGGACCAAACUUCUUAACCGCUUCUGGUACUUCUGAUGAAGUAGAAGCCCCCCCCCCCCCGCCUCCAACUGUUCUCAGCAGCAGGAGGCAAGGCUGUUGUCUGUCUGCACUCCUGGAAGCCCCAUGGGACUGUUGCUGAUAUGAGUGGUUGCUCUCUCAAGAUGUAAGAUCUCAGCUAUUGUCCCAGCACCAUGCCUGCCUGCUUGCCUGUUGCUGCCAUGCUCCCAGCUAUGAUGAUCAUGGACCCUAACCUUCUGAAACUGCAAGACCGAUAAGAGCACCCUUCAUCUGGGUCCCCAGCAAUCUGUCCUGUUCUACUGUGGGUGGAGAAUAGCACCGUGCUGGGUGGCUGUGUGACACAUGGAGCCACAUGGCUAGGUCUUGCACAACAGAAGAGGAAGCAGGGAAAUACAGCUUAAAUGAGUGUCAGCGGCUGGCAGGAUGGCUCGGUGAAGAAGGACAGUUGCUGGCAAGAUUGAAGUGUUCAGUACCUGGAUCCCACUUGGUAGAAACUGAAAUCCAGCUCUAGCAAGUUGUCAUCUGACCUCCACAUGUAUGUAUGCUCCACACACACAGAGAAACACACACACACACACACACUCACACACACACACUCACACACACAGAGCAAAUACGUGAGUAAGUGAGACUUACAAUAAAAAAGUAGCAGCCAGAUGGAAAGCAGUGGCUGGGUUCUCCAUCUGCUGGAGUGUUUGUCUAACUGUCCACACCCUGGCCUUCAAGCCCCCGCUACCCCCAAGCAAAGCAAAAUAGCAAUGACGAGAAACAAGGCAAGCAAAACCCUCUGAGGUUUAGCUGACUGUGGUAGCACCCACCUAGAAUGCUAGGAUUAGGGAAGCUGAGACAGGAGGAUUGCAAGAUUGUGAGUCUGACGUUAGUCAGGGCUGCUGAUACUGAAAGACUCUGACGGGUAGGGGUCAUUGAAAAUGAAGCUACGAACAAAGAUUGAGUCAUUUGAGUUAGUGAACGCACAGCUCAAGAAAGGCAAGCAUUUUUAAAAAAUUUAUUCUCUUCUCAUACAAUCCAUU